rnacentral:lncRNA from 1 species
GAGAGGUGAAGGGAGCUGAGUCAGGAGUCUGGGGGGGAGACUGGAACAUAGGCACGACCGGCAGCAUGUUUGUGUCUUCACCCAGCUGAACCAAAAACACACACACACGUCUCUGCUAGCUCUCUCGGGAAGUUCAGCGCAGGAGUGCUGCACUGUGAAGCUGUAGCAGUCUCGUGCGAAUGUGUGUGCCUCCUUAGAGAAGGCUGCAGUACACACUGACAAGGCGAGCACACUGAAGGAGAAGUCUGCCACUGCAGAGAACGGAUCUGUCCACACUGAUUCAGUCAAAGCUGAGCCACAGGUGUCUGCUGACGAGGAAGAAAGCUGAGAAGACCGGAAGAGGAGGAUAAGAGGGAGCUAGAGUUUCCUCAUGACCUGCUGCCC